rnacentral:rRNA from 1 species
CGCGUAGGCGGUUUGUACAGUCAGGUGUGAAAUUCCCGGGCUCAACCUGGGGGCUGCACUUGAUACGUAUGGACUGGAGUGGGGAAGAGGGUCGUGGAAUUCCCAGUGUAGAGGUGAAAUUCGUAGAUAUUGGGAAGAACACCGGUGGCGAAGGCGGCGACCUGGUCCUUGACUGACGCUGAGGCGCGAAAGCGUGGGGAGCAAACA